CGGCGCACAGCCAUGAGCUUUCCGUUCUCCGCCUGAUCCUACAGCACUCGAUAACGCAUUUUUAAUCAGUUACGAUCAUCUCCGCAGAUCCACCGUCGUGCUCGUGUGAUAAAUACACUUCUGAAUAGUCCGUUCGGCUGUAUCGAUUUCUUCUAAACACACAAUGACAAAGACACAAAGCCAACCCGAAAUUGGACAUGUAAACAAAUCUAUUACCAUUAGCAACGAAGCACUAAUAAGCUAUUAGACCAUUAGCAUUACAUCUGACACCGCUCACUAGCAAGGCCUGAUUCACAGUAUUCUGCACAUGCACAACAAUAUGCACCAGAUAUAAAACAACACCGUAUAAACAGCUGAAAUUAUGCGUUUAAGGCAUCCCUGAAUGCAAUUCCAUGCAGAUUAGACUAUACAUAACGUUACACCGCUAGCUUUAGAGUUCGGUUAUACUGUAACUCAACUCCAGCCUUCCUAUGUUCUCGUUCCUGCGGUAUGCAUUCGCAAACACCGUGUUUUUGUAUAAUUUAAAUACAUAAGUAAACACGUCAGCAAAAGAUCAGAUUUCGUGUCCUCAUCUUCUUGUAUAUCUAACUGCCAGGUUGGAUGUAUUGAUAAAAUCCGGAAAAA